GUUUAUAGCCAUUCCACUUUGAGCACACCUGUUUUCUGAUCUCAGAAGCUAAGCAGGGUCAGGCCUGAUUAGUGCUUGGAUGGGAGAGAGAAAGCAGCUUAGGUU
rnacentral:rRNA from 1 species